CUACGGGACGCAGCAGUGGGGAAUAUUGCACAAUGGACGAAAGUCUGAUGCAGCAACGCCGCGUGGAGGAUGACACAUUUCGGUGCGUAAACUCCUUUUAUAUAGGAAGAUGAUGACGGUACUAUAUGAAUAAGCGCCGGCUAACUCCGUGCCAGCAGCCGCGGUAAUACGGAGGGCGCAAGCGUUACUCGGAAUCACUGGGCGUAAAGAGCGUGUAGGCGGAUAGAUAAGUCAGGAGUGAAAUCCUAUGGCUCAACCAUAGAACUGCUCUUGAAACUGUCUAUCUAGAAUAUGGGAGAGGUAGAUGGAAUUUCUGGUGUAGGGGUAAAAUCCGUAGAGAUCAGAAGGAAUACCGAUUGCGAAGGCGAUCUACUGGAACAUUAUUGACGCUGAGACGCGAAAGCGUGGGGAGCAAACAGGAUUAGAUACCCCCGUAGUC
rnacentral:rRNA from 1 species